GUUGCGUGGUCCUGCUACAGCCGCCUUCUCUGGGCCUGAGUGAGGUUUCCCUUCUUCCUAGAGGACAGGAGAAGUGGGUGCUGCUGCCACAGGUAGAGACGCGGACAGAGGCUGCAGAUGCCACCCCCUUGGCCUCAAGGCGCGGGCGUGCUCACACAGACAGACACCUCCACGACUCGGGAUUCAAAACAUGGGAGCAAGAUUACACUUGGAAAGAUUACACUUCCAGGUCUGAGAUCCUGCACUUUUAUUUACAGGUGUCCUUUUACAGACCAAGACCAAGUUAGGGACAGAUCGCUGCCCAGUCUUUGAUUUUCUAGUUCCAACACCUUCACAGGGUGACAGGACAAGAGGGAGGGCGGGCGGUGGGAAGGCGCUUGGGGAGGUUUUGCUUCACUUGUGCACCUGAUGAUCACGCAUGGCCGGCACCUGCGGGGGCAGCCGCUGCGAGGUGGGGACAAGGCGGGGCAGGGAGCCGGGCUCCCAGCAGUGGUAGCCCAGGCUGGACCCAGGAUGCCUGUGAGGGCGGGGGCGGUGGUUUCCGGGGAGGGACUGAAGACAGGUUGGUCCUGACUGUUGCCAGUGUUUGGUCAAAUAUGCCAGCAGGUUAAAAAAAAAAAAAAAAAAAAAAGGUGUGUGUAUGUUGGGGGUGGGGUGGAGGUGGGGGCGGGAAUCCCUGCCAAGGCACAGUUCCCAGCCACUUUUCUCCCGCAGGGGGAAAGCUUGGAUCUUGUGAAUGUGACAUCAGCUCUUUUCUCCCAGAGGUCCCCUGCCUGAACUGGGGAGGGCAGAGCUGGCUUCCUGCUCGCGCCCAGUUCUAGAGGGAGCCUGGUCUCCCCGGGCUGGCCCCCAGGGCUGGGCUGAGGUAAGCGCGCGGAGGCAGAAGGCCCCUGGACGGGUGGAGGCAUCUCCGAGAGUGUGGGUGUGGGUGUGGGAGGGAGGGUUCCUGCCUCUCCCCUGUCCCCAACUUUUACUGUAGUGCCUCUUUUAGGGAACAGAUCUCAUCCUGGACCUGACCCUGCUACUGGGUCUCCCCCACUGUGACUUCCAGGGAGGUGGAGGGGGACGAAUAGAUCGAAGUCCACAGCAAAUAUAUCCAAGUUCCACCUUGGGGGCUAAAAAAAAAA
rnacentral:lncRNA from 1 species